GCCGCGGGAGUGCCGAGUGGAGCGCAAGCUGGACUGUAGCCGGGAACAACGUGCGAUUUGGGAACGACCUGGAUAGUGCUGUCCCCGAGCCGACCAAUGCAGGUGCUCCGCUCCUAGCAGAAGAGGACGUGGAACAAGAAAGUACGUACCUCUAAUGUAGAAUGCAUGGCAUCGACACAUCGACAACGGCAUCGACAUCGACAUCGGCAUCGACACAGGCGGCAACUGUUGAACAUGAAAGAACUGAUGUUCUGAGGCUGGAACCGUUAAUUUCGUAGGCAAAUUAAGGCUUUGUAUGGAUUUCUACCUUCUAUGUUGUUCCAGUCUCAGAACAUCAGUUCUUUCAUGUUCAACAGUUGCCGCCUGCGUCGAUCCCGUCGUAUGAAUGCGUGUAUGAGUGAGCAAAAAUGUAAGAGUGAAAGGAGGAUGAGUGAGAGAGAGUGGCUGGUUUGUCCCUUCCGAUGACGUACCCUGGAAGUCGCUGAGAAGCCGUGUUAGCUUAGCGGAAUUGGUAGAGCCCUGGACCAGCAAUCCAGAAGAUGCCUACAGCUAGCUAGCCUUUUCAGUGACUUUCCUCUUUGAUCGUUAAUUUCUUAGGCAAAUUAAAGCUUUGUGUGUAUCUGUCCCUUCUAUGUUGUUCCAGCCUCGGAACAUCAGUUCUUCCAUAUUCUUCGCGUUCUGACGCAUGACAGAAUUCCUAUUCCGCACGUGCUGCACUCUUGCUAGGACAUUAGUUUUGUGGAGAAAGAGCACUUACUUGCAGAGCGACUCUAAUGAACUCGCGAAACUAUUUCUACAAUCAGUCUGUCAACUGUGAAGCAACCAGAAGGGUGGAACUCGACCGAACGCCCCGCCAUUUUGGAAACUAAGCCCAAAGUGGCGACACCGAGAUGCGCGCGUACAAAAUUUGAUUUCAAAACAUAGUCGAUCAAUAGGGGCGCGCAUAUGCUCUUGGCCAGUAGGCUCGCGACGUAUGUCGCGAGCCUACUGGCCAAUCGGAGCCUACUGCAAUCGGAGCCUACCGGCAAUCCAUCCACCAUAUGGUGGAUGGAUGCAGCGGUACAUACUCGACUACCGCGACAACGGGUACCUGAGGAGGACUGGUCCGGACAAGCUACAAGAGCGGUGACCUUGUUCUGUUAGAUCACAUUGGCAAAUUCCGAGUCUUCCUUUCCUAAGUACUUUAUUUUAUAUAUCACCAGCUACAACCUUUACUAAAGCCGCACCAAUGGGGAUGUAAAAGCAAGAGGGCGUAGACACAAAGGUUCCGACCCUGCCUGAAAGUACUUUGGUGACACUUGAUGCAUGUUCCACAGUUGAAGAAGGCCUCAUCUUAGGCACUAGCGUACCUCACUCUUCGUCUAGCAUUUCAUCUUCAUAGUACCAGCACGCCUGCUCUUAUGCUAUGUUAUCAUGUAUGCCCAUCCUAUUCUGAGUUUCGUUUCCGAUUCGGAGCUUUUUUCGC